CCUACGGGAGGCUGCAGUGGGGAAUAUUGGACAAUGGGCGAAAGCCUGAUCCAGCCAUGCCGCGUGUGUGAAGAAGGCCUUCGGGUUGUAAAGCACUUUCAGUGGGGAAGAAAGCCUUGGGGCUAAUACCCUCGAGGAAGGACAUCACCCACAGAAGAAGCACCGGCUAACUCCGUGCCAGCAGCCGCGGUAAUACGGAGGGUGCGAGCGUUAAUCGGAAUUACUGGGCGUAAAGCGCGCGUAGGCGGUCUGAUAAGCCGGUUGUGAAAGCCCCGGGCUCAACCUGGGAACGGCAUCCGGAACUGUCAGGCUAGAGUGCAGGAGAGGUAGGUAGAAUUCCCGGUGUAGCGGUGAAAUGCGUAGAGAUCGGGAGGAAUACCAGUGGCGAAGGCGGCCUUCUGGACUGACACUGACGCUGAGGUGCGAAAGCGUGGGUAGCAAACAGGAUUAGAUACCCGAGUAGUC
rnacentral:rRNA from 1 species